rnacentral:rRNA from 1 species
CCUACGGGAGGCAGCAGUGAGGAAUAUUGGUCAAUGGGCGCGAGCCUGAACCAGCCAAGUAGCGUGAAGGAUGACUGCCCUACGGGUCGUAAACUUCUUUUAUAAAGGAAUAAAGUGAGGCACGUGUGCCUUUUUGUAUGUACUUUAUGAAUAAGGAUCGGCUAACUCCGUGCCAGCAGCCGCGGUAAUACGGAGGAUCCGAGCGUUAUCCGGAUUUAUUGGGUUUAAAGGGAGCGUAGAUGGGUUGUUAAGUCAGUUGUGAAAGUUUGCGGCUCAACCGUAAAAUUGCAAUUGUUACUGGCAGUCUUGAGUACAGUUGAGGUAGGCGGAAUUCGUGGUGUAGCGGUGAAAUGCUUAGAUAUCACGAAGAACUCCGAUUGCGAAGGCAGCUUACUAAACUGCCACUGACAUUGAUGCUCGAAAGUGUGGGUAUCAAACAGGAUUAGAUACCCUUGUAGUC